UCGUUGCAAUGUAAUCAUGUUUGGUAUGGUGGGAAGCCCAUUUUCAGUCAUUUGGUUCAUGCGCCUUGUCGAUCGGCCAAUGGCGCGACGCCACUGUCUGAGGGAUUAAGGCUGGACGCCUCUAAGUGUGAACCCCAUCCAGAGAUGCUACGA
rfam:Mesocestoides corti genome assembly, scaffold: MCOS_contig0000739